GUGAGGAGAAGACCCAUUAAUAAAAAACCACCAGGGUGGAUUG
rnacentral:rRNA from 1 species